rnacentral:rRNA from 1 species
UGUGUGUUAGUGGAAGCGUCUGGAAAGGCGCGCGAUACAGGGUGACAGCCCCGUACACAAAAAUGCACAUGCUGUGAGCUCGAUGAGUAGGGCGGGACACGUGGUAUCCUGUCUGAAUAUGGGGGGACCAUCCUCCAAGGCUAAAUACUCCUGACUGACCGAUAGUGAACCAGUACCGUGAGGGAAAGGCGAAAAGAACCCCGGCGAGGGGAGUGAAAAAGAACCUGAAACCGUGUACGUACAAGCAGUGGGAGCACGCUUAGGCGUGUGACUGCGUACCUUUUGUAUAAUGGGUCAGCGACUUAUAUUCUGUAGCAAGGUUAACCGAAUAGGGGAGCCGAAGGGAAACCGAGUCUUAACUGGGCGUUAAGUUGCAGGGUAUAGACCCGAAACCCGGUGAUCUAGCCAUGGGCAGGUUGAAGGUUGGGUAACACUAACUGGAGGACCGAACCGACUAAUGUUGAAAAAUUAGCGGAUGACUUGUGGCUGGGGGUGAAAGGCCAAUCAAACCGGGAGAUAGCUGGUUCUCCCCGAAAGCUAUUUAGGUAGCGCCUCGUGAAUUCAUCUCCGGGGGUAGAGCACUGUUUCGGCAAGGGGGUCAUCCCGACUUACCAACCCGAUGCAAACUGCGAAU